CAUGCAAGUCGAGCGCGGGAAGCGAGCGGAUCCCCUUCGGGGGUGAAGCUCGUGGAACGAGCGGCGGACGGGUGAGUAACACGUGGGCAACCUGCCUGUAAGACCAGGAAUAACCCCGGGAAACCGGGGCUAAUGCCGGGUAAUACUCUUCUUCGCAUGAAGAAGAGUUGAAAGAUGGCUUCUCGCUAUCACUUACAGAUGGGCCCGCGGCGCAUUAGCUAGUUGGUGAGGUAACGGCUCACCAAGGCGACGAUGCGUAGCCGACCUGAGAGGGUGAUCGGCCACACUGGGACUGAGACACGGCCCAGACUCCUACGGGAGGCAGCAGUAGGGAAUCUUCCGCAAUGGACGAAAGUCUGACGGAGCAACGCCGCGUGAACGAUGAAGGUCUUCGGAUCGUAAAGUUCUGUUGUUAGGGAAGAACAAGUACCGUGCGAAUAGAGCGGUACCUUGACGGUACCUAACGAGGAAGCCCCGGCUAACUACGUGCCAGCAGCCGCGGUAAUACGUAGGGGGCAAGCGUUGUCCGGAAUUAUUGGGCGUAAAGCGCGCGCAGGCGGUUCCUUAAGUCUGAUGUGAAAGCCCACGGCUCAACCGUGGAGGGUCAUUGGAAACUGGGGAACUUGAGGACAGAAGAGGAGAGUGGAAUUCCACGUGUAGCGGUGAAAUGCGUAGAUAUGUGGAGGAACACCAGUGGCGAARGCGACUCUCUGGUCUGUCUCUGACGCUGAGGUGCGAAAGCGUGGGUAGCAAACAGGAUUAGAUACCCUGGUAGUCCACGCCGUAAACGAUGAGUGCUAGGURUUAGGGRGCUUCCACCCCUUAGUGCUGAAGUAACGCAUAAGCACUCCGCUGGAGUACGGCCGCAAGGGCUGAAACUCAAAGGAAUUGACGGGGGGCCCGCACAAGCGGUGGAGCAUGUGGUUUAAAUUCGAAGCAACGCGAAGAACCUUACCAGGUCUUGACAUCCUUGGACCUCCCUAGAGAUAGGGAUUUCCCUUCGGGGACCAAGUGACAGGUGGUGCAUGGUUGUCGUCAGCUCGUGUCGUGAGAUGUUGGGGUUAAGUCCCGCAACGAGCGCAACCCCUAAUCUUAGUUGCCAGCAUUCAGUUGGGGCACUCUAAGGGUGACUGCCGGGUGACAAAACCGGAGGAAGGGCGGGGAUGACGUCAAAUCAUCAUGCCCCUUAUGACCUGGGGCUACCCCACGUGCUACAAUGGAUGGUACAAAGGGCAGCGAAGCCGCGAGGUGUAGCAAAUCCCAAUAAAACCAUUUCUCAGUUCGGAUUGCAGGCUGCAACUCGCCUGCAUGAAGCCCGGAAUCGCUAGUAAUCGCGGAUCAGCAUGCCGCGUG
rnacentral:rRNA from 1 species